rnacentral:rRNA from 1 species
CCUACGGGAGGCAGCAGUGGGGAAUAUUGCACAAUGGGCGAAAGCCUGAUGCAGCAACGCCGCGUGAGCGAUGAAUGCCUUCGGGUCGUAAAGCUCUGUCCUCAAGGAAGAUAAUGACGGUACUUGAGGAGGAAGCCCCGGCUAACUACGUGCCAGCAGCCGCGGUAAUACGUAGGGGGCUAGCGUUAUCCGGAAUUACUGGGCGUAAAGGGGACGUAGGUGGUUUCUUAAGUCAGAGGUGAAAGGCUCCGGUCCAACCGUAGUAAGCCUUUGAAACUGGGGAACUUGAGUGCAGGCGAGGAUAGUGGAAUUCCUAGUGUAGCGGUGAAAUGCGUAGAUAUUAGGAGGAACACCAGUUGCGAAGGCGGCUCUCUGGACUGUAACUGACACUGAGGCACGAAAGCGUGGGGAGCAAACAGGAUUAGAUACCCCGGUAGUC